UAACUGAUCUCUCCUACCCUCCUUUUCCUCUCGGCCUCGAAACUCUUCCGGCAGCCCGAGGAUUAGAGUACGGCAAAGAAAUCCGUGCUAAAUCCCCUCCAGAUCCGACUCUUACCAUUCGGUCUUUCCCGCCGCCAGAUCGAUCAUUCGAGGCUUCGAAGCGCCACCCAUCGCGAUGCCCCCAAACGCCGCCCCUCCCCUUUCUUCUCUCCAGCUCUCAACCCCAUCGUCACUCCCCUUCUCCGCCCCCAAAUUUCAGCGUCCCUCUCUUCUUCUUCUUCGAAGAACUCCCGUUCGAGCGGCGAGCUCUGUAUCCACCCGGCCGAAGAAGAAGAAGGCCGCCCAGAGGGGCGAGGGGCAGCUGGAGGAGGAGGAGCUCGUCCGCGUGAUACUGAGGAAGGCGGGAGGUGGGAAGGAGCCGCUGGUGGCGACGCUCGGUAAGUACGUGAAGGUGGUGAGGACGGAGCACUGCUUCAUGCUGUUCGAGGAGCUUGGGAAGAGGGAUUCCUGGCUUCAGUGCUUGGAGGUAUUCAGAUGGAUGCAGAGACAGCGUUGGUAUAUUCCUGAUAAUGGUAUUUACUCAAAGCUGAUAUCUGUGAUGGGGAAGAAAGGCCAGACAAGGAUGGCCAUGUGGCUUUUUUCUGAGAUGCGGAAAAGUGGUUGUAGACCAGACAGUUCUGUAUAUAAUGCACUGAUUACUGCACAUCUUCAUUCACGAGAUAAAGCUAAGGCUUUGGCAAAAGCUCUUGGGUACUUUGAGAAGAUGAAAGGCAUUGAAAGAUGCCAACCCAAUGUUGUGACCUACAACAUUCUUUUGAGAGCAUUUGCCCAGGCCAGGGAUGUAAAACAAGUCAAUGCAUUAUUCAAAGAUCUUGAUGAAAGCAUCAUAUCUCCUGAUAUUUACACUUACAAUGGUGUCAUGGAUGCAUAUGGGAAGAACGGCAUGCUCAAAGAAAUGGAGUCUGUACUUAGGCGCAUGAAAAGCAAUCAGUGCAAGCCGGACACAAUCACAUUCAAUCUACUAAUUGAUUCAUAUGGGAGGCGGCAGGCAUUUGAUAAAAUGGAACAAGUGUUUAAGAGCUUGUUGCGCUCAAAGGAGAAGCCCACUCUUCCUACAUUCAACUCAAUGAUAACAAAUUAUGGGAAAGCUAGGCUUAGAGAGAAGGCAGAAUUUGCUUUCAAGAAGAUGAUUGAUUUAGGCUUCAAACCCAGUUAUGUGACAUAUGAGUGUCUUAUAACAACUUAUGGAUACUGUGACUGUGCUUCAAGAGCCAGAGAGAUAUUUGAUGAGAUGAUAAAUACCCAAAAGGAAGUACAAAUUUCUACUUUGAAUGCUAUGCUUGAUGCCUAUUGCAUCAAUGGUUUGCACUAUGAAGCUGAUAAACUAUUGGAUUAUGCGACUAAACAAGGUUUAGUGCCAAAUGCUUCGACAUAUAAAUUACUCUACAAGGCCUACACUAAAGCUAACAUGAAAGAGCUCCUUGACAAUUUGCUGAAGCGUAUGGAUGAACAGGGGAUUGUUCCAAACAAGAAGUUCUUUCUGGAGGCAUUAGAAGCCUUUGGUUCUUCUCAGCCGAGACCCAAAUCCGGUAGUGAGACAGAUGCUUCAAAUGUGUCACAAAUUAAUGCCUAGGAAUAGCCUUAACCCAUCAAGAAGUUGCUUGCCAUGUCUUUCCCAUUGCUGGUUGCCGAAUGAGGUCACCAUCAAUAGAACAUCCAGUUGCGACUGUCAACUUUCAGAUCUUGCUUGAAGUUACUUUUGGUGCAGUAAAAUUACAUCAUCGCACCAUGCAAGGAAGUUGACUUUGGACGUUCUACACCAGAACCAAAUCAAGGGCUCAAGUCUUUUUGUCAAUUUAUUGUCAUCUUUUAUGCGUCAGGAGGAAAUAGUCAUGUAGAAGAUGCAAAAGGGAGAAGGCAGAAAUCAUUGCAAGGUAUGGCCACAAAUUUCAGCUAGGGAACUGAAUCUACCAAAAUUAUUGAAUUAGAGUGAGUUUAGGGAUGUAUAAAUAAUAGCAUAUUUUGAGGCCAAAAAAAAUAUAGUUAUGUUUUUCAAAAUAGCACUGUGUAUGCUUUUAUACAACCUUUUAAAUACUUAGUAUAUAUGUGUAUGCUUUUAUACAACCUUUUAUAGGAUUCUCGAUCUACAUCUAUUAAAGGUAUUGUAUGUAUGCUGUAUGGUACAAGCACUAAAGAUAUGGGGUUAAAAGAAAAAACCGUGCUGCUAAGUAUUAACCAUGUAGAUGUACAAAAAUGAAUUCAAAAAUACACCCACGAAAUUAAUUAAUCAAAAAACGAUUAUAAAAGUAUUCCUAGAAUUCUUCAUCCUCUUUUCAAACUAGGCCUAAAAUGACUUACUUAACCAUGUAGGUGUACAAAAAUAAAUUCAAAAAUACAACCGUGA